rnacentral:rRNA from 1 species
UACGUAGGCAGCAAGCGUUGUUCGGAGUUACUGGGCGUAAAGGGUGUGUAGGCGGCCUGUUAAGUUCCGUGUGAAAUCUCCCGGCUCAACCGGGAGGGUGCGCGGAAAACUGGCGGGCUAGAGUGCGGGAUGGGAGAGUAGAAUUCCUGGUGUAGCGGUGAAAUGCGUAGAUAUCAGGAGGAAUACCGGUGGUGUAGACGGCUCUCUGGACCGCAACUGACGCUGAGGUGCGAAAGCCAGGGGAGCGAACGGG